rnacentral:rRNA from 1 species
CAGCCGCCACGGUAAUACGAGGGGUGCAAGCGUUAUUCGGAUUGAUUGGGUGUAAAGGGUGUGCAGACGGCUUAUUAAGUCGCUUGUUAAAUUCUUCGGCCUAACUGAAGGUCUGCAAGUGAUACUGAUGAGCUAGAGGGUGGAAGAGAGAAGUGGAAUUCUCGGAGUAGCGGUAAAAUGCGUAGAUCUCGAGAGGAACACCAAUGGCGAAGGCAGCUUCUUGGUCCAUUCCUGACGUUCAUACACGAAAGCGUGGGGAGCAAACAGGAUUAGAUACCCCCGUAGUCCCUGUCUCUUAUAC